rnacentral:rRNA from 1 species
UACGGGGGGAGCAAGCGUUGUUCGGAUUUACUGGGCGUAAAGGGCGCGUAGGCGGCACCGCAAGUCGACUGUGAAAUCUCCGGGCUUAACCCGGAAAGGUCAGCCGAUACUGCGGGGCUAGAGUGCAGAAGGGGCAACUGGAAUUCUCGGUGUAGCGGUGAAAUGCGUAGAUAUCGAGAGGAACACCUGCGGCGAAGGCGGCAUCCUGGACCGGUAUUGACGCUGAGGCGCGAAAGCUAGGGGAGCAAACAGG